ACUCCUACGGGAGGCAGCAGUGGGGAAUAUUGCACAAUGGGCGCAAGCCUGAUGCAGCCAUGCCGCGUGUGUGAAGAAGGCCUUCGGGUUGUAAAGUACUUUCAGCAGUGAGGAAGGCGGGUACGUUAAUAGCGUGCUUGUUUGACGUUAGCUGCAGAAGAAGCACCGGCUAACUCCGUGCCAGCAGCCGCGGUAAUACGGAGGGUGCGAGCGUUAAUCGGAAUUACUGGGCGUAAAGCGCAUGCAGGUGGUUUGUUAAGUCAGAUGUGAAAGCCCGGGGCUCAACCUCGGAAUUGCAUUUGAAACUGGCAGACUAGAGUACUGUAGAGGGGGGUAGGAAUUUCAGGUGUAGUGGUGAAAUGCGUAGAGAUCUGAAGGAAUACCGGUGGCGAAGGCGGCCCCCUGGACCAGAUACUGACACUCAGAUGCGAAAGCGUGGGGAGCAAACAGGAUUAGAUACCCGUGGUAGGAUAGCG
rnacentral:rRNA from 1 species